AUCGACUAAUGAUAAAUGUAAACAACAAACUAACCGGUAGUGAGAAUAAUCAUCAGUUGCAGCCUUUUUUAUGUUAAACGUAAACGUAAUGUUAAAAAUAAACAAUCCACCGACAUUUCACAGGUUAAAAUUAUUAUUGUUUGGUUCAGUGAGGAAUAUCUGCUUCCGUUUGCUAAAAAGAAAACACAUCAUCAGGAAAAUUAGGGUUAGUGUUCAGUUUCAGAACACUGUUGUGAUGUGUUGUACCAGAAUUAUCAGUGUAACGGUAACAUUUUUUACCAAAGCCGUAGUAAAUGUUAUAAUAAAUGCAGUCUGCAAAAAAGUCGAAGUGUGACCGAAACAAUUGAUGCAACCUGUGUCAUCAUCAGAAAUGAUAAGAAGACUUUCUCUCUUUAACAUUAUCUUUUUUAAGAAGAAAUAUUUCCUCGUUUUGACGUUUUCUCCCACCAAAAAGCGAAUAAUCUUUUUGUGACACAUCCAUGAUUCAGUCAGUGUAGACCAGAAGUACUGCUGCUCAAACCACGUUAUAAACAAAUUAAAUGGGAUAUUUCCCGUUUUUAAUUCAUUCCUCUAAGCAGGAAACAUCCACUCAAGAAACCAGAUAUGGUAGCUACAUGGGAAAAAAAAGCACAUGGAGAUUUGUUUUUCCUGAAUUUCGUUAAGCGAACAAAAAGAAUCUUUAUUGAAAAGUCUUGCAUUUCUUUACAAGGGGGUCGCUCAAACACGGGUGUGUGAAAUGAGAGUUGCCUGGGUGUGACUUCUCCAGAAAGCAUCCGCUUGCUAUUGUCUGCCUAGUCAACUUCUGCAGGCCCCAGUGCCCUGACUUCCAUACAUGAGAGAUCAAGGGUUACCAAGGUGCUUUUGAGAAAGGAGGGCUCAAUGUGAGAGGGGACAAACCAGUCCACAAAAUACUCAUUUCCUUUGCAUGUUAGGUGCCCUAGUGGGGAUUCAGACGGGGUCACCGACACAGCCAGCGUUGUUCUUAAUGAAAACUGUUGCCUUUUCAUCGGCUAUCUGCCGCCUGUACAGUACGCGGCUCGAUAAUGUGCUGAGUUUGCCUAAAAGAAAGUUUGUUCAGACUCUGGCUGUUUAUCCGGAGCCAGACAGAGGCACCUCAUGUAGAAAAGGUAAAAGUAAUUCUGUCCACCUCUCAUUCUUGCCAGAAAGUUCAGUCACUGAGCCACGGCAUUAACUUGUAUUCUAACAAGAUUAAAAUAUAUUCGUCCUGGGGAUUAGCAUAGUUAGGUGUCCUUUUGCCUCUUUUUUUCCUGCACUGGUGCGGUGACAGUGGGCUUUGAUCUGCGUUGCGAGGCAAGAGUCCUGGCUUGGACCUAGCCAUUCGAGUGCCAAGUGUGAAAUUGGCCUGAUGUCAUCCCCAUUCUUCACCUUUUACAUCUUUCACCACUUUAAUUAUGUUUCCGCCACAAAGCCCGGGCACCUCUGAGCAGAUUCCACUCUGGCCGUAGGAAGCAUUUAGAAAGUGGGUAAAUGACACAGUAGGGGAGGGGGAGGAUGGUAGGAGAGGUCAUAGCAGGAUGGGGCCCUUUUGUGUUUAGAGGUAGACAUUGAUACUUCCCUCAUGUAUCCUGCGCUCACUUCCAUUUUUUACAGCGAUGAGAACUUUGCGAAAUUGUCAGCAAUGCUGCAGAAAAAUAACUUUUAUUCCAGACAACUUCUGCAUCCCAUUCCAAGAAGACAUGUUUGUUUUUUUACCCAGUUAUGCACGCACAUAUUACUUGAUUUAUGCUGUCAUGCAUUAUGUUUUCACAGCAAUGCAAGUUGCGUGAAGCAGUUAGACGCCCCAAAACAAGGACCACUUGACCACCUGAAUCUCACUUCUUCUGGCGACUAGACAAAUUAUUCUCGGAUAAAAAAAAAAAAGCUUUUGUUCCAGGAGAAUGUGCACAGCUCCAGCUAUUGUUCAUGCAUCGGUGUCCCUAUCUGAACUUCAGGGAGCUUCUCUGCCGGUGAAUAUUUUGAUGAAGGUUCCUAUUGAUGCGCUGAAUGAAGGACCAAAACAACAGGGGUGUGUGUGUGUGUGUGUGUGUGUGUAUGUGUGUGUGUGUGUGAGGGAGAGAGAGAGAGAGUUGAGAAAGCUGUGUGUGGAGAAUGGGUUACUGAGGGGCGGGAGGGGGGAAACCAGCCACCUGCAGCCAUGACAGGCUUUGACCUUCAUUGCUCUCUCUCUUUCUCUCUCUAGUGUGUCCCACUCUCUCUCUCUCUCUCACCCCCUCCCCUCUCUCUCUCUCUCCUUUCGACUCCCAUUUCUGCCUUGUGAUAGAAGCACAGGCUCCUUUCAGAGGCGGCGAGGAAGACUGACCGUCGUGGAGACAGUGCUGGGAGCCGCUCUAAUGCUAGUAGUCACCGGCCGUUAGACAUGGCGUUCAAAGACUAGCGGUGCAAGCAUGGAAAUGCAGAUAAGGCAUUGUUGAGGAAACAUGCCUGGGAAUUGUUCAAGGCUUUCCUCCUUGCAUAAUGUUGGGAUGCUUUCGCAAAUGUUUUAAUCUCAAAACCCAUGAAUGUGAUCCUCCAUGAAUGUGAUCCAGAACCGCCCAUAGAAUGAGUGGGUGUUUGCAUGGGGAAGGAUUGUCAUGCCAUGCAAAUUAAUAAUGUUUGUGAUUGCAUUUGUGAAUAUUUUGACAUCUGGGAACAUUUAUUUAAAGCUAUUUUUGUAUAUCUUUCUCUUUUCUGGACAAUUUUUACUAGCAAUGCAUUUUUUUCUUCUAGAUUAUAAUGCCUGCAGCUUUGAUUGAAUGUCACAAUAGAUCUCUGUUAUUUUUUUUUUAUGCGUUUAACUGUUUUUUUUUCUUCACAUACAGAUGCCAGAGACAAUGCUUGUGUAUAAUCUUCAAGGUUUAUUUACUCUUCUUUUGCAGUUUUUCAGGAGGCAGUUAAUUACACAAUUAAUACAUGAUACAAAUUAUGUACAUUUAUACCAAAGAAUACUUCCAACAUAAAAUAAAAAAUAGCAUUGUAUUCUACAACUCUGUGUUGUAAUUUUAUUUAAACAUGUUCAUAUAUAGAUAGAUAUACGCUGAUGAGUAAAUUCAUAAUGUCGUACCAGCAGUUUUUCAUAAAGGCAUUAAACUUGAAUAGUCUGCAUUUGAAGUAAUACUGCUUCUCUGAUUCGGCACAGUUCUGUUUCACACAAAGUUCACACCUGAACUUUAAGGCAAAGUGUGUUUCUGUUUGGUGGAUUUUAAUUCACACACACUUUUUGCAGAUACACAACAAAAACACUUUGAAAGGCAAAAAGUCCACAAUUUGGUAUGGAUACAGUCUAAAACUUAGCUCGAUCAUACUUGUGUCGAUAAAGACCAGAGUUUAUAAACACAGUUAUUUGCCCAAGUACAACAAAUUGCAGCUUUCAUGCAAAGGCCCCAUAAACUAUUAUCAUUCACAAAAAAGAAACAAAAAGAAAGUUAUUGCAAGAUAAACAAGCAGUGUAAACACCUCAGAUAUCUACUCUAAAGCAACACUGGUCAUUGGAUAGAUUUUUUUUUUCUCAAUAUAAUCUAUAUAAAUACACAUAUGAAGUCCUUUCAACAACGAUAAGAGAUUUCCAACAUUUGUAAUACAGUCACUGACGGAUUUGCCUUCUUUUUAUGAUAAAUGGAUAUGUAAUAAAACUGUAUAUAGAGAAAAGAUUUAACAAGAACAUCCAAUAACCUGCUUUUUAUAGUCAAAAGAGUGCGCAGAAUGGUUGUCAUCAUUGUCUUUAUGCUACAGAGUUUGUUCUGUGACUUUAUAGGCAGCAUUAUAGCCUUCAAUUCAGUUCUAGCUACAAAACAAAAGAUUGAUAUUGCUAGUUAAAACUAUAAUAGCUGCACUGAUGCAUUGGUAUAACGAAGGGAAUACGCACAUAAUAUUGGUUUAAAGGCUAUAAGACGACCACAUGGAUAAUAAGCAAGGCGUAACUUAGCGUUUUAGUUCAG